AUGUGAGAGAAGCUUCCACUUCUCACUAAUUGCUACUGCCACUGCCACCGCCACCACGUUCCAGCGCCACCGCCCGUCGCCGCCUCCGGCGGCGCUCCUCUCCUCUUCUCCAUCUCCCUCUCUUCUCUUUCCUCUAUCUCUCUUUCUUCCCAUACUCUUUUCUCCUCUCUCGGCCCUGCUCAGCCGCCGCUGCCCCCUUCUCUCCCGAUCUGCCCGCUGCUGUGCAUGCACAGGUAGCGGCUUCGCCGCUUCUUCUCUGCGCCUCACGCUGCCGGAGUAGCUCCCCGAAGCCACCACAGUCGCCGUCUCCUCACCGAAUUCCCGAAAGAUUGUGAAAUUAGUGACGAAUCGGGGUGUGGGGCUGCCACCGUCGGCAACGGCGUGCGGAAACUCAGUCGCCGGAAUUCCGACAGAUUCGUACACAUAAGAUAAGUUUCUUUAACUAUCUAGUUCUAGCCAUUGUAGGAUUUUAGUCUCUCUAUUCCAUGUGUUUGGUGAAUUGUGAGUAUUUUUCUAGCUACUUAGAAGAAGACUUGAUGGUGAAACAUACUAUUAGGCUAGGUGUUGUAAAUUCCAAAUUUGGGCAGAUUCUAUCUUCGAAAUUGUAUAUGCAUGCUUGUACGUAGAUGAAAGAAAAGAAAGGCUUGGUGUUUACCUUUUGAGGUGGGAACUGGGAACAAAGUGUUGUUGAAUUGUAGGGCAUGAUCCUACGAUUAUCUGCAACUUUCUCCAACUCUCCUUCCUCGUACUCCUUUAUUCUAUAUGUGUGUAUGAAGAGAAUUUGUAGAAUGUUUGAUAGUGAUGGGUUUCCUAAAGUGGAAAAUGCUUGAGGUUUAUAUACUUGUCAUUACCUUGCAACUUGCUAUGCAAAUGGAUGAAUGUUUAACUUGGGGAGGUUUAACUUGCAAGUGGAUGAAGGUUAAAACUUAGGGAGGUUUAACUUGGUGAAGGUUUUAACUUUACUGUAAUAUUUGUAUGUCAGAGAUAUUUAUCUCCUUUUGGUGAUCCUACGGCAAAAAGUGUUUUGAGGAGCUUAUGUGGCUUUCAUCUAUCUACAUUGGUAUUUAUUGCCCACUUGGUUGAAAUCUUGCAAAGAUUUUGAUUGGAUUUGGAAAUAGCAUCUAUUUAAGGAGUAUGGGCUAUCCUCGUUGAUGUAUCGGCUUUCCUUGGAGCUUGAGCACGACCGUUGAAAGGCUGCCCGAACUUGCACGCCUAUCUCUAAUUGUAAAAGAUUAGGAUUUGGUUGUAUUGUAUACUUUUACCGGA